UGUGGCAGAACAGUGCAGUAAAUUUAAGCUUUACAUAUAAAGUAAAUCUUUCUUUAGAA
rnacentral:tRNA from 1 species